rnacentral:rRNA from 1 species
CCUACGGGUGGCAGCAGUGAGGAAUAUUGGUCAAUGGGCGUAAGCCUGAACCAGCCAAGUCGCGUGAAGGAUGAAGGUCCUAUGGAUUGUAAACCUCUUUUAUAAGGGAAUAAAGUGAGGGACGUGUGCCGUUUUGUAUGUACCUUAUGAAUAAGGAUCGGCUAACUCCGUGCCAGCAGCCGCGGUAAUACGGAGGAUCCGAGCGUUAUCCGGAUUUAUUGGGUUUAAAGGGUGCGUAGGCGGGUUUUUAAGGCAGCUGUGAAAGUCUGUGGCUCAACCUUAGAAUUGCCUUUGAUACUGGCAGCCUUGCGUAUGUUUGAGGCAGGCGGAAUUCGUGGUGUAGCGGUGAAAUGCUUAGAUAUCACGCAGAACCCCGAUUGCGAAGGCAGCCUGCCAAGCCACCACUGACGCUGAUGCUCGAACGCGUGGGUAUCAAACAGGAUUAGAUACCCUAGUAGUC